rnacentral:rRNA from 1 species
UCCCAGUUCAGAUUGCAGUCUGCAACUCGACUGCAUGAAGUCGGAAUCGCCAGUAAUCGCGGAUCAGCAUGCCGCGGUGAAUACGUUCCCGGGCCUUGUACACACCGCCCGUCACACCAUGAGAGUCGGGAACACCCGAAGUCCGUAGCCUAACCGCAAGGGGGCGCGGCCGAAGGUAGGAUUGGCGACUGGGGUGAAGUCGUAACAAGGUACC